CCAGACUCCUACGGGAGGCAGCAGUGGGGAAUAUUGCACAAUGGGGGAAACCCUGAUGCAGCGACGCCGCGUGAGUGAAGAAGUAUCUCGGUACGUAAAGCUCUAUCAGCAGGGAAGAAAAUGACGGUACCUGACUAAGAAGCCCCGGCUAACUACGUGCCAGCAGCCGCGGUAAUACGUAGGGGGCAAGCGUUAUCCGGAUUUACUGGGUGUAAAGGGAGCGUAGACGGCAGCACAAGUCUGGAGUGAAAUCCCGGGGCUUAACCCCGGAACUGCUUUGGAAACUGUGCGGCUGGAGUGCAGGAGGGGUAAGCGGAAUUCCUAGUGUAGCGGUGAAAUGCGUAGAUAUUAGGAGGAACACCAGUGGCGAAGGCGAUUUGCUGGACUGUAACUGACACUGAGGCACGAAAGCGUGGGGAGCAAACAGGAUUAGAUACCCCCGUA
rnacentral:rRNA from 1 species